AUUGAACGCUGGCGGCAGGCCUAACACAUGCAAGUCGAACGAGUGGCGGACGGGUGAGUAAUGUCUGGGAAACUGCCUGAUGGAGGGGGAUCACUACUGGAAACGGUAGCUAAUACCGCAUACCAUCAGAUGUGCCCAGCUGGGAUUAGCUAGUUGGUGGGUUAACGGCUCACCAAGGCGACGAUCCCUAGCCGGUUUGAGAGGAUGACCGGCAAAUCUGGAACUGGGACACGGUCCAGACUCCUACGGGGGGCAGCAGUGGGGAAUAUUGGAAAAUGGGCGAAAGCCUGCUGCAGCCAUGCCGCGUGUAUGAAGAAGGCCUUCGGGUUGUAAAGUACUUUCAGCGGGGAGGCGUUACCCGCAGAAGAAGCAACGGCUAACUCCGUGCCAGCCGCCGCGGUAAUUC
rnacentral:rRNA from 1 species